rnacentral:lncRNA from 1 species
ACACCGUCCCCUUUCGGUCUCGGACAAGACUUCAUCACUUCAACACCGAUCGUAUCAAGCACCAAAGGAGAGGAAUCGUCAACUUCUCAUUGUCAGCUUUCGACGUCGAACCUUCAGAAUACCGGAUGGGCGGAUCUACCAACCGUAAUCACACUUCCGGCCGACGAACGCCCUCCGUUAACACAAGUGACCCGUGUCUUGUGGCCGAUAGAGUUGACCCAGUCGCCAUUUUCCUUACCGAUCCCGGAACUUUUGACGGCCAUGGAGAGGAAGAAAUUGAAACAAAGAAGUUCCCGAACUUUUGACGGCCAUGGAGAGGAAGAAAUUGGAACAAAGAAGUUCCGGAACUUUUGACGGGCAUAGAAUAGGAGCACUAACGUCGAAACUUGAGGUUUGUAAAGCCGCUUAGGCGAUUCUUUCUUCGUAUCGUCUGAGCUUGAAGCGUCUAAACACGAUUCUGGGACUCUCACAACUGACCCAUUCAGUUUAUGAACGGUCCAAAUUUAGGUGAAGGAAUACACAGGAGGAGGUUGAUAGUGAUUAACCUUACCUUAAAUUGAUCUGGAAUGGAGCUUGUGCUGGACAUCCAUUUGCCGGUCUCUCGACUAGAACAAGCCUCUUCCAUCUUAUCGCUGACGGACAGAAUCAUGUCGUCUAAUGUCAUUACAUUAAUUUCAAAAUGGGGAUCUCUGGUAGUAAGUUCCGAGGGUUUGAACAACGCAUUCGGCCUACACUAAGAUGUUCUCAUUUUCACCGAUAACGAUCAUUAGUUCACUGCCACGCACUUCGUCCGGGGGAUUCCAUUUCUUAGGAACUAAAACUUAUUUCCUUAUUACUGCACGGUAACAGUAAAAAUUCUCAAUUUUUGCCCGACUUUGGUAACUUUUGUUUAAAAAAUCCCCUUUAACGCAGUUUUUUGGGGAAAAAGAAUUUUUAGAAUUAAUGAUAUCUGCCUCAGAAUCAUUCCGGCGGGAUUGAUAGUUGAACGAUAAUCUUAUGUUUAUUUUUAUCUGAAGAAUCAAGGAACCUGGAACAAAAAAAAGACAAAACAUCAGCAGAGAUUGAAUUAAUUGAGACAAUUUGAUUAAAAAUUGGUUGCGUUUCGCGUUCAGAGCGGACGUAUUUAUAAACGCACAAACGAUUGUAUUCUUACGAAAUCAAUUGCUUCAAACGACUUUUAGGUUUUUUCGAAGGGAGUUGGGUUGAGGUAUAAAAAUAUACAUCGUCAAAUAUAGAAAUAUAUGUAGGUAAAUUUACCGAGUUUCGCUGACCUACAUUUUACGCUGCAAAAUUUAAUCUUCUGUUAGUUUUUCGUAUAAUAAAAUGAGGAAAAGUUAAGCUUUACGACCCACAGCAAAUUUUUCUUACAAAUAAGGAAUAAAUUGUAAAAAAUUAAAGUCAUAAAAUGUUACUUCAUUUUUAAUUAAAAAUACAGAUCACGAGAGGUAAUUUUGAAACGUGUGAACUCUUGAAACUGAUUCCAGCUGAAGCUGUCGUCCAAAUAGGUAUGCGUCAAAGUUUUUUAGUACAAAAUAAUUUGAAAAAAGUAUAUAUUUGGAUAGAGGACACAAACGUUUUUAAAUUCAAUAGCGGCUGUUUGAAUUAGAGUAAAAAAUGCAUCCGCCUUUAGAACCCUCUGUAAAUAGUCCCAUCUAUUUAUGACGUCGCAAGUCCCAAUAACACUUUAAAGAAAAAAAAUCGAACUUCAAAUCUAUUUUUACUAGUUGAGCCUUUUUUUAACUGAGAUAAGUAUUUCAUAAUUAAACGUUCCCAUAUUGUCUUACAUAAUCAAACAUUUCUCAAGUAGCAAGCAAACAACUGAUGUAAAAAAAAUCCGAUAGUGAGAUCGAUCGAGAAGAUAAUAAUUACUGCCGAUGAGUAUGUUCGAACUUUCCCAGUUCAAGUAAGGUAGGUGUUAGUGACUGAUUGUCCUUACUUUGUGACUCCGGUAAGAAUUGUUUUAUCCGUAAAAAUCCAUCUGCUUAUUCUCUUUCCCAUUAUCUUGGUGUGUAAAAGGAGAUUACUUGGAUCUUUCGGAGGGAGUGCCUAUCCUUCCUCUCUAAAAAAAGACCCUUAAAACCUGCCUUUCUUUACUUGAAACAACUGGCUCAAUGCAUAGGUCUGUUGCACGCAAGGGAUACAGUCAAAUGAGGAGCCAGAUAUAAUUUGUGAAAUUGUACAAAAAUAACGUCGAACAGAUCCAAAAUGUCUUUGUCUCACAAUUUUCGUGGUCAAUAUUUUACAUUUUCAAAUUUACCGAAUCUGCGCGCGAUGUUUUAUUACAAUAAGGGGAUACGUAUCCGGCCACUACGCGACCCAUUAUGAAGUUUGAUAUUUUCCAGCAUUCAGGAGUCCUUACUGAAAAACCUAUUCUAACUUAGCAAACAAUCUGUCUAACUGCUGCAGACCUUUCAUUUAAGAUUUCUUACUUUUCAGAGCAUUCGUUUUGCAUUUUUCUUCUAAGUCAAGAGAAAAAAAAACUUUAAAACAUUUGAAAUCGUAUGGUAGAGAGAUUGAAGACAAUAAUCGUUCAUUCUCUUAGCAAUAACCUGAUUGUUGAAAAUGAAGAAACAAAUAUUAUGUAAGUAGAGAUAAUAUACCGGAGCACUUCCAGUUCGGAUCGUCCCAGGAGCACUUCCAGUUCGGAUCGUCCGAAUUUUUUAGACUCUUGGAGUUCGGAUCCUCCGAAUUUUUCAGACUCGUUUUACAUCAGAUAUGAACGGCUCCACUUUGCAACUUUUUCAGACACAUUUACAGCUGAAAUCUCACUCCCUAAUUACGAGACCAAACUUUCUAUAAAGUAGGAGUGGCAAGCCACCCAAAACUGAACUCACAGGUUCCAUAACGUUUUCUGUCGUUUUGUUCCAUAUUGAUCUGCUCACAAAACACACAAGACAGUGAAACUCGGUGACCGAGAAUAAAUUAGUUUCUUUCGCGCGGUUUUUUGC